AUUGAACGCUGGCGGCAUGCCUUACACAUGCAAGUCGAACGGUAACAGGUUAAGCUGACGAGUGGCGAACGGGUGAGUAAUAUAUCGGAACGUGCCCAGUCGUGGGGGAUAACUGCCCGAAAGAGCAGCUAAUACCGCAUACGACCUGAGGGUGAACGCGGGGGAUCGCAAGACCUCGCGCGAUUGGAGCGGCCGAUAUCAGAUUAGGUAGUUGGUGGGGCAAAGGCCCACCAAGCCAACGAUCUGUAGCUGGUCUGAGAGGACGACCAGCCACACUGGGACUGAGACACGGCCCAGACUCCUACGGGAGGCAGCAGUGGGGAAUUUUGGACAAUGGGCGCAAGCCUGAUCCAGCCAUGCCGCGUGCGGGAAGAAGGCCUUCGGGUUGUAAACCGCUUUUGUCAGGGAAGAAAAGGUUCUGGUUAAUACCUGGGACUCAUGACGGUACCUGAAGAAUAAGCACCGGCUAACUACGUGCCAGCCGCCGCGGUAA
rnacentral:rRNA from 1 species